rnacentral:rRNA from 1 species
GAAGCGUGCGAUUGGAUUGCACGUCUAAGCAGUAAGGCUGAGUAUUAGGCAAAUCCGGUACUCGUUAAGGCUGAGCUGUGAUGGGGAGAAGACAUUGUGUCUUCGAGUCGUUGAUUUCACACUGCCGAGAAAAGCCUCUAGAUAGAAAAUAGGUGCCCGUACCGCAAACCGACACAGGUAGUCAAGAUGAGAAUUCUAAGGUGAGCGAGCGAACUCUCGUUAAGGAACUCGGCAAAAUGACCCCGUAACUUCGGGAGAAGGGGUGCUCUUUAGGGUUAACGCCCAGAAGAGCCGCAGUGAAUAGGCCCAAGCGACUGUUUAUCAAAAACACAGGUCUCUGCUAAACCGUAAGGUGAUGUAUAGGGGCUGACGCCUGCCCGGUGCUGGAAGGUUAAGAGGAGUGGUUAGCUUCUGCGAAGCUACGAAUCGAAGCCCCAGUAAACGGCGGCCGUAACUAUAACGGUCCUAAGGUAGCGAAAUUCCUUGUCGGGUAAGUUCCGACCCGCACGAAAGGCGUAACGAUUUGGGCACUGUCUCAACGAGAGACUCGGUGAAAUCAUAGUACCUGUGAAGAUGCAGGUUACCCGCGACAGGACGGAAAGACCCCGUGGAGCUUUACUGUAGCCUGAUAUUGAAAUUCGGCACAGCUUGUACAGGAUAGGUAGGAGCCUUUGAAACGUGAGCGCUAGCUUACGUGGAGGCGCUGGUGGGAUACUACCCUAGCUGUGUUGGCUUUCUAACCCGCACCACUUAUCGUGGUGGGAGACAGUGUCAGGCGGGCAGUUUGACUGGGGCGGUCGCCUCCUAAAAGGUAACGGAGGCGCUCAAAGGUUCCCUCAGAAUGGUUGGAAAUCAUUCAUAGAGUGUAAAGGCAUAAGGGAGCUUGACUGCGAGACCUACAAGUCGAGCAGGGUCGAAAGACGGACUUAGUGAUCCGGUGGUUCCGCAUGGAAGGGCCAUCGCUCAACGGAUAAAAGCUACCCCGGGGAUAACAGGCUUAUCUCCCCCAAGAGUUCACAUCGACGGGGAGGUUUGGCACCUCGAUGUCGGCUCAUCGCAUCCUGGGGCUGUAGUCGGUCCCAAGGGUUGGGCUGUUCGCCCAUUAAAGCGGUACGCGAGCUGGGUUCAGAACGUCGUGAGACAGUUCGGUCCCUAUCCGUCGUGGGCGUAGGAAAUUUGAGAGGAGCUGUCCUUAGUACGAGAGGACCGGGAUGGACAUACCUCUGGUGUACCAGUUGUCGUGCCAACGGCAUAGCUGGGUAGCUAUGUGUGGACGGGAUAAGUGCUGAAAGCAUCUAAGCAUGAAGCCCCCCUCAAGAUGAGAUUUCCCAACUUCGGUUAUAAGAUCCCUCAAAGAUGAUGAGGUUAAUAGGUUC